rnacentral:rRNA from 1 species
UGAACGCUAGCUACAGGCUCAACACAUGCAAGUCGAGGGGCAGCAUGGUCUUAGCUUGCUAAGGCCGAUGGCGACCGGCGCACGGGUGAGUAACACGUAUCCAACCUGCCGUCUACUCUUGGACAGCCUUCUGAAAGGAAGAUUAAUACAAGAUGGCAUCAUGAGUCCGCAUGUUCACAUGAUUAAAGGUAUUCCGGUAGACGAUGGGGAUGCGUUCCAUUAGAUAGUAGGCGGGGUAACGGCCCACCUAGUCUUCGAUGGAUAGGGGUUCUGAGAGGAAGGUCCCCCACAUUGGAACUGAGACACGGUCCAAACUCCUACGGGAGGCAGCAGUGAGGAGUAUUGGUCAAUGGGCGAGAGCCUGAACCAGCCAAGUAGCGUGAAGGAUGACUGCCCUAUGGGUUGUAAAUUUCUUUUAUAAAGGAAUAAAGUCGGGUAUGGAUACCCGUUUGCAUGUACUUUAUGAAUAAGGAUCGGCUAACUCCGUGCCAGCAGCCGCGGUAAUACGGAGGAUCCGAGCGUUAUCCGGAUUUAUUGGGUUUAAAGGGAGCGUAGAUGGAUGUUUAAGUCAGUUGUGAAAGUUUGCGGCUCAACCGUAAAAUUGCAGUUGAUACUGGAUAUCUUGAGUGCAGUUGAGGCAGGCGGAAUUCGUGGUGUAGCGGUGAAAUGCUUAGAUAUCACGAAGAACUCCGAUUGCGAAGGCAGCCUGCUAAGCUGCAACUGACAUUGAGGCUCGAAAGUGUGGGUAUCAAACAGGAUUAGAUACCCUGGUAGUCCACACGGUAAACGAUGAAUACUCGCUGUUUGCGAUAUACUGCAAGCGGCCAAGCGAAAGCGUUAAGUAUUCCACCUGGGGAGUACGCCGGCAACGGUGAAACUCAAAGGAAUUGACGGGGGCCCGCACAAGCGGAGGAACAUGUGGUUUAAUUCGAUGAUACGCGAGGAACCUUACCCGGGCUUAAAUUGCAGAUGAAUUACGGUGAAAGCCGUAAGCCGCAAGGCAUCUGUGAAGGUGCUGCAUGGUUGUCGUCAGCUCGUGCCGUGAGGUGUCGGCUUAAGUGCCAUAACGAGCGCAACCCUUGUUGUCAGUUACUAACAGGUUCCGCUGAGGACUCUGACAAGACUGCCAUCGUAAGAUGUGAGGAAGGUGGGGAUGACGUCAAAUCAGCACGGCCCUUACGUCCGGGGCUACACACGUGUUACAAUGGGGGGUACAGAGGGCCGCUACCACGCGAGUGGAUGCCAAUCCCCAAAACCUCUCUCAGUUCGGACUGGAGUCUGCAACCCGACUCCACGAAACUGGAUUCGCUAGUAAUCGCGCAUCAGCCACGGCGCGGUGAAUACGUUCCCGGGCCUUGUACACACCGCCCGUCAAGCCAUGGGAGCCGGGGGUACCUGAAGUGCGUAACCGCGAGGAGCGCCCUAGGGUAAAACUGGUGACUGGGGCUAAGU